AUAUAAGUAAGCGGAGGAAAAGAAACUAACUAGGAUUCCCUUAGUAAUGGCGAAUGAACAGGGAAGAGCUCAAUGCCCAAUCAUUUCUUCGGGAAUGAAAUGUGGUUUUGGUUAGUAUCCAGUGAAUGCCUCAGUGAAAGUCUCCUGGAACGGAGCGCCAUGGAGGGUGACAGCCCCGUUCAUCAUUGAGUGUCAGUCACGUACGGAUCUAGCUAAAAGAGUCGCGUUCUUUGGGAUAAGAGCGCAAAAGGGUGGUAAGUUCCAUCCAAAGCUAAAUAUGACCACGAGACCGAUAGCGCACAAGUA
rnacentral:rRNA from 1 species